UCUUAAUAAAGGCACAAAUUAACUCGCAUCUUUUGUUUAGAGGGAGACCAUGAUGGCGAAUCUCCCCCAGCCUACCAAUCUUCUCAGUAUACCAUUGUACACUCUCUACCAAUAUUAAUUCCUAAUGGAUCUUUCCAGCUAGUUGCAAACCACAGCCUACCUCGCAAACGAAGAGACCAUCACUUAAAAGCCUCCAUGUUCCUAGCCGUUCUCUACACUGUUUCAGCUAGUUGGCUAUCACUAUUGUGCUCCAUUCCAGCCAUUGUUUACUCUUUAAAAGCUCGAGCUGCUGAAGCAAGACAUGACAAGGGAUCUAUGGUUAAGUAUCGCCGCAAGUCCUUUAUUUGCAACUUGCUCUCUUUAUUUGGAGGAGCUGUAUCUGUUCUACUUGUCAGUGGAGCAUGUGCUGUACUGCUUUCAAUGACGCAGUAUUAAUGAUCAUGAUGAUUGUGUGUGUGUACAUUGUGUGCCAAUGAAACUAGAGUGAAACUGCUAUCAACUAUUGAUAAAAGUACACAGUCUAGAGUGUAUUGUAAAUAUAGAUUGAAAGUUUAGCAUACAGACAGCAACGUAUAUACGUGUAAUUACUUUUUAUUAUAUUAUAUAUUGCUAUAUUGAAUGUAGCCAGG